CUGCAAAGUGUUAAAUGCA
rnacentral:siRNA from 1 species